UUUAAUGGCUGCAGUAAUUAUCAGUAGUUUUUUAAUUAAAAGCUUGUAUGAAAGGUUGGACGAAAUAAAAACUGUCUUUAGUUAAUAAAAUUAGAAUUUAAUUUUUGAAUUAAAAAGUUUAAAUUAAUAUAAAAGACGAGAAGACCCUAUAGAGUUUAAUAAUUUAUAUAAUAUAAUUAAUUUUGAUAUUUUAAUUUUAUAUUUUAUUAAUUAUUUUAUUGGGGUAAUAAAAAGAUUAAUAUAAUUCUUUUUAAUUAAAUUUUAUUAAUUUAUAUAAAUUUGAUCCAUAAUUUAUGAUUAAAAGAUUAAAUUACCUUAGGGAUAACAGCGUAAUUUUUUUAGAGAGUUCAUAUUGAUAAAAAAGUUUGCGACCUCGAUGUUGGAUUAAGAAUUAGUUUAGGUGCAAAAGUUUAAAAUUUUGGUCUGUUCGACCAUUAAAUUCUUACAUGAUCUGAGUUCAGACCGGUGUAAACCAGGUCGGUUUCUAUCUUUAUAAAAUUAUUAUAUUUUAGUACGAAAGGACCAAAUAUUUAUUAUAAUAAUUUAAUUUUGAUUAUUAGUAAAUUAUUUUGGCAGAUUAGUGCAAUGAAUUUAGAAUUCAUUUAUGUAAUUAUAUUACAAAUAAUACUUGUAUAUUAUUGAUUUAUUGUUAAUUUUUAUUUCAAUGUUAUUAUUAGUAAUUUGUGUAUUAGUAGGAGUAGCUUUUUUGACAUUAUUAGAACGAAA
rnacentral:rRNA from 1 species